rnacentral:rRNA from 1 species
GUCUGAGAGGACGAUCAGCCACACUGGGACUGAGACACGGCCCAGACUCCUACGGGAGGCAGCAGUGGGGAAUCUUGCGCAAUGGGCGAAAGCCUGACGCAGCAACGCCGCGUGGGGGAUGAAGGCCCUCGGGUUGUAAACCCCUUUCAGCAGGGACGAAUCAAGACGGUACCUGCAGAAGAAGCCCCGGCUAACUACGUGCCAGCAGCCACGGUAACACGUAGGGGGCAAGCGUUGUCCGGAUUUAUUGGGCGUAAAGAGCUCGUAGGUGGCUGAGUAAGUCGGAUGUCAAAUCCCCAGGCUCAACCUGGGAUCCCAUCCGAUACUGCUCUGGCUAAAGUCCGGUAGGGGAGCGUGGAACUCCUGGUGUAGCGGUGAAAUGCGCAGAUAUCAGGAGGAACACCAGCGGCGAAGGCGGCGCUCUGGGCCGGUACUGACACUGGGGAGCGAAAGCGUGGGUAGCAAACAGGAUUAGAUACCCUGGUAGUCCACGCCGUAAACGUUGGGCACUAGGUGUGGGGUCUAUUCAACGGACUCCGUGCCGUCGCUAACGCAUUAAGUGCCCCGCCUGGGGAGUACGGCCGCAAGGCUAAAACUCAAAGGAAUUGACGGGGGCCCGCACAAGCAGCGGAGCAUGUUGCUUAAUUCGAGGCAACGCGAAGAACCUUACCUGGGCUUGACAUGUAUGGAAAAGCCGUAGAGAUACGGUGUCCUUCGGGGUCAUACACAGGUGGUGCAUGGUUGUCGUCAGCUCGUGUCGUGAGAUGUUGGGUUAAGUCCCGCAACGAGCGCAACCCUUGUCCUAUGUUGCCAGCACGUUAUGGUGGGGACUCGUAGGAGACUGCCGGGGUCAACUCGGAGGAAGGUGGGGACGACGUCAAAUCAUCAUGCCCCUUAUGUCCAGGGCUGCAAACAUGCUACAAUGGCCGGUACAAAGGGCUGCGAAACCGCGAGGUGGAGCGAAUCCCAUAAAGCCGGUCUCAGUUCGGAUUGGAGUCUGCAACUCGACUCCAUGAAGCUGGAGUUGCUAGUAAUCCCGGAUCAGCAACGCCGGGGUGAAUACGUUCCCGGGCCUUGUACACACCGCCCGUCACACCAUGAAAGUUGGAAACGCCCGAAGCCAGUGGCCUAACCCUUUGGGAGGGAGCUGUCGAAGGUGGAAUCAGCGAUUAGGGUGAAGUCGAAACAAGGUAGCCGUACCGGAAGGUGCGGCUG